GACGAAUGCUGGCGGCGUGCCUAAUACAUGCAAGUUGAGCGAUGAAGAUUGGUGCUUGCACCAAUUUGAAGAGCAGCGAACGGGUGAGUAACGCGUGGGGAAUCUGCCUUUGAGCGGGGGACAACAUUUGGAAACGAAUGCUAAUACCGCAUAACAACUUUAAACAUAAGUUUUAAGUUUGAAAGAUGAAAUUGCAUCACUCAAAGAUGAUCCCGCGUUGCAUUAGCUAGUUGGUGAGGUAAAGGCUCACCAAGGCGAUGAUACAUAGCCGACCUGAGAGGGUGAUCGGCCACAUUGGGACUGAGACACGGCCCAAACUCCUACGGGAGGCAGCAGUAGGGAAUCUUCGGCAAUGGACGAAAGUCUGACCGAGCAACGCCGCGUGAGUGAAGAAGGUUUUCGGAUCGUAAAACUCUGUUGGUAGAGAAGAACGUUGGUGAGAGUGGAAAGCUCAUCAAGUGACGGUAACUACCCAGAAAGGGACGGCUAACUACGUGCCAGCAGCCGCGGUAA
rnacentral:rRNA from 1 species